rnacentral:misc_RNA from 1 species
GAAAAAGAUGCCUUCUUCAUUACAUUCGGCGGCAUUUCAACUGAAUUGUUCUCUACACAAGCGUUCCUUCUCAGAAAGAUUUUAUCAUUUCAAAACUACUGAUCCCUCCUCUACUCUCAAGCCAUUUUCAAGAGAUUUGCAGCCGCUUCCUCUGCAAAUUGAUGUCUGCAAAACCAUCAAGAACACUUCUCUGAAACUUUU